rnacentral:rRNA from 1 species
UGGGGAAUAUUGCACAAUGGGCGCAAGCCUGAUGCAGCCAUGCCGCGUGUGUGAAGAAGGCCUUCGGGUUGUAAAGCACUUUCAGCGAGGAGGAAGGUGGUGAGCUUAAUACGCUCAUCAAUUGACGUUACUCGCAGAAGAAGCACCGGCUAACUCCGUGCCAGCAGCCGCGGUAAUACGGAGGGUGCAAGCGUUAAUCGGAAUUACUGGGCGUAAAGCGCACGCAGGCGGUUUGUUAAGUCAGAUGUGAAAUCCCCGGGCUCAACCUGGGAACUGCAUUUGAAACUGGCAAGCUAGAGUCUCGUAGAGGGGGGUAGAAUUCCAGGUGUAGCGGUGAAAUGCGUAGAGAUCUGGAGGAAUACCGGUGGCGAAGGCGGCCCCCCUGGACGAAGACUGACGCUCAGGUGCGAAAGCGUGGGGAGCAAAACAGGAUUAGAUACCCUGGUAGUCCCANCUGUAAACGGAUGUCGAUUUGGAGGUUGUGCCCUGAGGCGUGGCUUCCGGAGCUAACGCGUUAAAUCGACCGCCUGGGGAGUACGGCCGCAAGGUUAAAACUC